rnacentral:rRNA from 1 species
CAGCCGCCGCGGUAAUACGUAGGUCCCGAGCGUUGUCCGGAUUUAUUGGGCGUAAAGCGAGCGCAGGCGGUUUGAUAAGUCUGAAGUUAAAGGCUGUGGCUCAACCAUAGUUCGCUUUGGAAACUGUCAAACUUGAGUGCAGAAGGGGAGAGUGGAAUUCCAUGUGUAGCGGUGAAAUGCGUAGAUAUAUGGAGGAACACCGGUGGCGAAAGCGGCUCUCUGGUCUGUAACUGACGCUGAGGCUCGAAAGCGUGGGGAGCGAACAGGAUUAGAUACCCGGGUAGUCCCUGUCUCUUAUACC